rnacentral:rRNA from 1 species
UUCCCGUUGAUCCUGCGGGAGGUUGCUGCUAUCGGGAUUCGAUUAAGCCAUGCAAGUCUUUCCGCAAGGAAGGCAAACUGCUGAGUAACACGUCGAUAACUUACCCUAAGGUUCGGGAUACCCUCGGGAAACUGAGGAUAAGACCGGAUCGGGAAGAUGCCCUGGAACGGGCUUUUCCACAAACGCAAGGCCUUAGGAUAGGACGGCGGCGGAUUAGGUAGUUGGUGAGGUAAUGGCUCACCAAGCCAAAGAUCCGUAGGGGCCCUGAAAGGGGGAGCCCCCAGAAGGGCACUGAGAUACUGGCCCUAGCCCUACGGGGUGCAGCAGGCGCGGAACCUUUACAAUGCACGCAAGUGUGAUAAGGGAAUCCCGAGUGCUCAUGCUACGCAUGGGCUUUUGCCAUGGGCAAAUACCAUGGAGAAUAAGUGGUGGGCAAUACCUGUGCCAGCCGCCGCGGUAACCCAGGAGCCACAAGUGGCAACCGCUUUUAUUGGGCCUAAAGCGUCCGUAGCCGGCUUGGCAAAUCUUCUGUGAAAUUCUUCGGCUUAACCGGAGAGCGUGCAGGAGAAACUGCCUCGCUAGGGACUGGGAGGCGUGAGGGGUAUUUCAGGGGGAGCGGUAAAAUGUUAUAAUCCCUGAAGGACCACCUGUGGCGAAGGCGCCUCACGAGAAC